rnacentral:rRNA from 1 species
AUGAUUCGUGGGACGUCCUGCCGGUGGUGGCGAGUCGAAGGCGUGCUCCCGUUGUGGUUCCCCACUUCGGUUCUUGCGCGCCCGAGGCGGACCCCGAUGAAAUCCUACCGCGGUGCUCUUCGCCGAGUGUCGAGGUGGGCCGGCACGUUUACUUUGAACAAAUUAGAGUGCUUAAAGCAGGCCUGUUGCGCCUGAAUACUGUGUGCAUGGAAUAAUGGAAUAGGACCUCGGUUCUAUUUUGUUGGUUUUCGGAACCCGAGGUAAUGAUUAAUAGGGACAGGCGGGGGCAUUCGUAUUGCGACGUUAGAGGUGAAAUUCUUGGAUCGUCGCAAGACGGACCGAAGCGAAAGCAUUUGCCAAGUAUGUUUUCAUUAAUCAAGAACGAAAGUUAGAGGUUCGAAGGCGAUCAGAUACCGCCCUAGUUCUAACCAUAAACGAUGCCAGCUAGCGAUCCGCCGAAGUUCCUCCGAUGACUCGGCGGGCAGCUCCCGGGAAACCAAAGCUUUUGGGUUCCGGGGGAAGUAUGGUUGCAAAGCUGAAACUUAAAGGAAUUGACGGAAGG